UAUGUGCAUAAAAUAGAUUUAAAAGAUCAUAUUCAGCGAUAACUUUCUCUUUGCUCAAUUGAUUUAGAAAGCCUUACGUAAAAUCUGAAAUUUGAGUGCUUACGCCUUCGUAUGUCGUUGCUUUGUGGCCUCAUGAACAUCUCCCAAUCUUCGCAGCUUUGUUUUAGUAUUCAAUUCACGCUGCAAUAAAUAGCUGUAUAAUUUGCUAAUGUGUUAAAUCAAACGCUUGAAGAUGUCCACGAAAAAUUCCCAAUUAAUUUUGAAAAAAUCCCCAUUUCGUGGGAAAAGGAAGGAAAGAGAAAAAACCAAGAGUGUGGCACGACAGAGCUGAAGAACUUAGCGAAGAAAUUGAUUAUGCAGUUUACGCAGACACGGGGAAGAGCUGAGCGCGCUUAAAAGUAAAUUGAGGAAACUAGAGCAACGUUCGCACAUCACUCUGAAUGUACCAGUGGCUUGUCGUAGAAACAACGUAGGAUGGGGGUAGAAAGCCCCGCUAGUUUUAGACCACACAUAUUGGACAAAAUUUAUAUACCAGUAUUCUCUGCAUCGGGUCUGGCAGCACUAAUAGAGGAAAGUCGGCGCUUCAAAGCGAAAGUAGAAGCCUUAAAGAAGGAAAUCCAGCGGAUAAAAGAUUAACGUCUACAGAUAGCGAAUGGAGUGGAUAGCACCAGGGGAAAGGAGGCGCUUAAAAAAGUCGUGGAGAAGGUGACUUCACCCCACGGUGCCCGAUGACAUACGGGUUAAUUUUGCGUAAUCGGCGCCAUCACGAGUUAGAAAAUCCCUACAAGCUAGGGACUAAACCGCUCUGAAGGAACUGGAUAUGUUUAUUGUGUAUGGCUCAAUAAACGCACUCUGAGGUAGGUUUAGGCCUGUCACUAUCUCUAACUAUUCGCUUUAGGAGUGAUAGAAACCACAACCACUACCGGAUUGCAGUAACCAGUAGUCAGGACUCAUACAUUGGUUAACUGCUGCCUUCAAACUGGGGACUGCACAUACGCGGUUUCCGCAUGUAUGUAAAUAUGCGAACAUAGCGCAUAAUGAACGUGGAACUAAACUCUUCGGUUGUCCAAGAGUCAUCACUGUCUUCUGAUUCGGAGUCAACGUAUUCGUCUUCAUCCAUUUAGCUGCCAGUCGGAGUAGUGCUUUGAUUUGAUGACGGCAUGAUAGAGCUACGACGUUUAUUUCUGGACUUGGGUCUCGAGUCAGUUGCAUUAUUUGGGCAAACGGUCUUCUUGCGUGCCCCUAUCUGGCAUGAAACGUAAAACGUAACUUAAUGGCAGAGAUGCUGGUUGCGCCCGCUCCAUUUGUUCAAUAACUUUGGGGUCAUAAUCGAUGUGAGUAUCCUCAAUAUGUAGUAUCAAAUCGCUUAAGCUUGGAAAAGCAUUUCCGCAACCAUCAAACUUACAAAUGUUGAGCAAGAACAACGCCAUGUAUUUUUAAAAUCAGAUAAUAAACUCGCUACGACAAA